AGUGAACGCUGGCGGUAGGCCUAACACAUGCAAGUCGAACGGCAGCACAGUAAGAGCUUGCUCUUACGGGUGGCGAGUGGCGGACGGGUGAGGAAUACAUCGGAAUCUACUUUUUCGUGGGGGAUAACGUAGGGAAACUUACGCUAAUACCGCAUACGUCCUACGGGUGAAAGCAGGGGAUCUUCGGACCUUGCGCGAUUGAAUGAGCCGAUGUCGGAUUAGCUAGUUGGCGGGGUAAAGGCCCACCAAGGCGACGAUCCGUAGCUGGUCUGAGAGGAUGAUCAGCCACACUGGAACUGAGACACGGUCCAGACUCCUACGGGAGGCAGCAGUGGGGAAUAUUGGGCAAUGGGCGCAAGCCUGAUCCAGCCAUACCGCGUGGGUGAAGAAGGCCUUCGGGUUGUAAAGCCCUUUUGUUGGGAAAGAAAAGCAGCAGGUUAAUACCCCGCUGUUCUGACGGUACCCAAAGAAUAAGCACCGGCUAACUUCGUG
rnacentral:rRNA from 1 species